rfam:Canis lupus familiaris chromosome 6, whole genome shotgun sequence.
UCUCUCUAAAAAGGAUAAAUAAAUAAAAUUGGAAUGAUACAGAGAUUAGCACAGCCCCUGCACAAGGAUGACACACACAUUUGUGAAGUGUUCUAUAUUUUU